ACGUGUCCCUGGGCUGCCUUUUCCCUCUCCUCUCUCUGUCCUUUUCUGUCCCUUUCUCCGCCCCUACCUCUUUCUAGGUUCCCGCCCCUCUCCCUGGCUCCCUUCCCCCCAUAAACUUCCUUUUGUACUAGGCCUGUCACAUGAUGGUGAUUACUCGUGGAGAGGCAUCGGCACGGCCCGCUGAGGGCAUACGUGCUGCGGGAGCUUCCUGAGAAUCCGGAUAUGCAAAGUCUUGCCCGUCUGAGGGUAGCUAAUGCUCGGUUACAGGUGAGAAGACAUCCUGCCUCAGAAAAGGGUGGCCGUUAUCUUCCAGAACGGCCCAUGGUCUGGGAGCCUCCAGAACUGCUGUUGAGACCUGAGCCAUUCUGAGCCCUGACUCUGUGCAGAACCCUGCAGGAUUUCUUUCUCUCAGCAUUAGGAAAUGUCACUGUGAGAUGCCCAUCAUCUUGGUCUCCCUCGGUGUCCCUUUCAUACUGAAAACUCAUAACUUUUUGGCUCUGGGACGUUUUCCUCAAUUUCUUUGUUGAGCUUCUGAAAUUCCUGUUGUUCUGAUAUUUCGAUGAAUUUCGCAUCUGUUUAUUCCUAGUUCUGUCCCUGCCCUUUCUCGGAAAUCUCUGUAUGGUCUAGAUAACCAUCUAGUAACGGUUGUACUUUUAGUUUCAAACGUGUGAGUCUAUGAAGCAUACAGAAAACAGAAGUGAAAUAACUUAGCACCCCGACAGAAGUAGUAGUUAGCAUAGCAGCAUCAGAUCAGGUGCU
rnacentral:lncRNA from 1 species